rnacentral:rRNA from 1 species
UACGUAGGUGGCGAGCGUUGUCCGGAUUUAUUGGGCGUAAAGCGCGCGCAGGCGGUCGCGUAAGUCUGCUGUGGAAAUCUCCCUGGCUCAACCGGGAGGGGGCGGCGGAGACUGCGGGACUGGAGGGACCUAGAGGCCGGUGGAAUUCCCGGUGUAGUGGUGAAAUGCGUGAGAGAUCGGGAGGAACACCUGGUGGCGAAAGGCGGCCGGCUGGGGGUGCCCUGA